rnacentral:misc_RNA from 1 species
GAUGAAGAACGUAGCGAAAUGCGAUAAGUAAUGUGAAUUUCAGAAUUCAGUGAAUCAUCGAGUCUUUGAACGCACAUUGCGCCCCCUGGUAUUCCGGGGGGCAUGCCUGUCCGAGCGUCAUUGCUGCCCUCAAGCACGGCUUGUGUGUUGGGCCCCCGUCCCCGGUUUCCCCCGGGGACGGGCCCGAAAGGCAGCGGCGGCACCGCGUCCGGUCCUCGAGCGUAUGGGGCUUUGUCACCCGCUCUGUAGGCCCGGCCGGCGCCAGCCGACACCCAACUUUAUUUCUAAGGUUGACCUCGGAUCAGGUAGGGAUACCCGCUGAACUUAAGCAUAUCAAUAAGCGGAGGA